AAAGGUGGCUUCGGCUACCACUUACAGAUGGACCCGCGGCGCAUUAGCUAGUUGGUGAGGUAAUGGCUCACCAAGGCAACGAUGCGUAGCCAACCUGAGAGGGUGAUCGGCCACACUGGGACUGAGACACGGCCCAGACUCCUACGGGAGGCAGCAGUAGGGAAUCUUCCGCAAUGGACGAAAGUCUGACGGAGCAACGCCGCGUGAGUGAUGAAGGUUUUCGGAUCGUAAAGCUCUGUUGUUAGGGAAGAACAAGUGCCGUUCAAAUAGGGCGGCACCUUGACGGUACCUAACCAGAAAGCCACGGCUAACUACGUGCCAGCAGCCGCGGUAAUACGUAGGUGGCAAGCGUUGUCCGGAAUUAUUGGGCGUAAAGGGCUCGCAGGCGGUUUCUUAAGUCUGAUGUGAAAGCCCCCGGCUCAACCGGGGAGGGUCAUUGGAAACUGGGGAACUUGAGUGCAGAAGAGGAGAGUGGAAUUCCACGUGUAGCGGUGAAAUGCGUAGAGAUGUGGAGGAACACCAGUGGCGAAGGCGACUCUCUGGUCUGUAACUGACGCUGAGGAGCGAAAGCGUGGGGAGCGAACAGGAUUAGAUACCCUGGUAGUCCACGCCGUAAACGAUGAGUGCUAAGUGUUAGGGGGUUUCCGCCCCUUAGUGCUGCAGCUAACGCAUUAAGCACUCCGCCUGGGGAGUACGGUCGCAAGACUGAAACUCAAAGGAAUUGACGGGGGCCCGCACAAGCGGUGGAGCAUGUGGUUUAAUUCGAAGCAACGCGAAGAACCUUACCAGGUCUUGACAUCCUCUGACACCCCUAGAGAUAGGGCUUCCCCUUCGGGGGCAGAGUGACAGGUGGUGCAUGGUUGUCGUCAGCUCGUGUCGUGAGAUGUUGGGUUAAGUCCCGCAACGAGCGCAACCCUUGAUCUUAGUUGCCAGCAUUCAGUUGGGCACUCUAAGGUGACUGCCGGUGACAAACCGGAGGAAGGUGGGGAUGACGUCAAAUCAUCAUGCCCCUUAUGACCUGGGCUACACACGUGCUACAAUGGACAGAACAAAGGGCAGCGAGACCGCGAGGUUAAGCCAAUCCCACAAAUCUGUUCUCAGUUCGG
rnacentral:rRNA from 2 species